GCUGCGUCCACUCAUCUCAUCACCUUACCGACCUACUUAAGGAGCCUCAAGACCAGGAUUCAUCGCCAGAUCGUUACCCCUGAUGGACCUUCAUGCCCACGAGUGGACACCUCGAAUCAAGAGACAACCGAGCAGAACAUCACCAGAAGCCACCUACCUCGUCACGGAGUCUCAGUCACGUCCAAAGCCAUAGCCGAACCUCCAGCCAAGCCAAAGAGCCACAGCCGAGCCGAAGCCACGCCAAGAGCCGCAGCCGCACUUCCACGUCUCGCUUCGGAACUUCGACGUCCCCCCAGCUUCGCCGCCCUCCUGCCACAGCAAACUACGUCACCUUUCUGGAACAAUUAAACUUAUUUACUUACUUCCA